rnacentral:rRNA from 1 species
UACGUAGGGUGCGAGCGUUGUCCGGAAUUACUGGGCGUAAAGAGCUCGUAGGUGGUUUGUCGCGUUGUUCGUGAAAACUCACAACUCAAUUGUGGGCGUGCGGGCGAUACGGGCAGACUGGAGUACUGCAGGGGAGACUGGAAUUCCUGGUGUAGCGGUGAAAUGCGCAGAUAUCAGGAAGAACACCUAUGGCGAAGGCAGCUCUCUGGGACGGUACUGACGCUGAGACGCGAAAGCGUGGGGAGCGAACAGG